rnacentral:rRNA from 1 species
UCCUUUUGUUUAUUAAUUUAAGGUUUAACCUGCCCAAUGAGGAAUUCAAUGGCCGCAGUAUUUUAACUGUGCUAAGGUAGCAUAAUCAUUUGUCUUUUAAUUGAGGGCUGGAAUGAAGGGUUGGACGAGGCAUUAGCUUUCUUUGAUUUAAUUUAGGAAUUUAAUUUUUGAGUUAAAAAGCUUAAAUUUAUUUAUGGGACGAGAAGACCCUAUAGAUCUUUAUAGUUUUAUGUUUUAAUAAUUUAGGGAUUUAUAUAUUUUAAGCAGAUGAAUUAUUUUGUUGGGGUGACUGUAGAAUUUAAAUAACUUCUA